rnacentral:misc_RNA from 1 species
AACGCAUAUUGCGCUCGAGCCCUCGGGCAAGAGCAUGUCUGCCUCAGCGUCGGUUUACACCCUCACCCCUCCCAACUUGUUGGGCGUGUUUGCUCUGUUUGCAAGCCAUUGGGGUGGAUCUGGCUUCCCCAAUCAUGUCCGUUUCACUGCGGCAGAUUGGGCUGGCUGAAGUGCAGAGGCUUAAGCAAGGACCCGAUAUGGGCUUCAACUGGAUAGGUAGCACCGGCUCUUGCCGACUACACGAAGUUGUUGCUUGUGGAUCUUGCUAGGAGCCAAGCAGGAACGUGCCUUUGGCAUGUCUAAACUUUCGACCUGAGCUCAGGCAAGACUACCCGCUGAACUUAA